rnacentral:rRNA from 1 species
GCCCUUAGAGUUUGAUCCUAGCUCAGGACGAACGCUGGCGGCGCGCCUAACACAUGCAAGUCGAACGAGCGAGAGAGAGCUUGCUUUCUCGAGCGAGUGGCGAACGGGUGAGUAACGCGUGAGGAACCUGCCUCAAAGAGGGGGACAACAGUUGGAAACGACUGCUAAUACCGCAUAAGCCCACGGGUCGGCAUCGACCAGAGGGAAAAAGGAGCAAUCCGCUUUGAGAUGGCCUCGCGUCCGAUUAGCUAGUUGGUGAGGUAACGGCCCACCAAGGCGACGAUCGGUAGCCGGACUGAGAGGUUGAACGGCCACAUUGGGACUGAGACACGGCCCAGACUCCUACGGGAGGCAGCAGUGGGGAAUAUUGCACAAUGGGGGAAACCCUGAUGCAGCGACGCCGCGUGGAGGAAGAAGGUCUUCGGAUUGUAAACUCCUGUUGUUGGGGAAGAUAAUGACGGUACCCAACAAGGAAGUGACGGCUAACUACGUGCCAGCAGCCGCGGUAAAACGUAGGUCACAAGCGUUGUCCGGAAUUACUGGGUGUAAAGGGAGCGCAGGCGGGAAGACAAGUUGGAAGUGAAAUCUAUGGGCUCAACCCAUAAACUGCUUUCAAAACUGUUUUUCUUGAGUAGUGCAGAGGUAGGCGGAAUUCCCGGUGUAGCGGUGGAAUGCGUAGAUAUCGGGAGGAACACCAGUGGCGAAGGCGGCCUACUGGGCACCAACUGACGCUGAGGCUCGAAAGUGUGGGUAGCAAACAGGAUUAGAUACCCUGGUAGUCCACACCGUAAACGAU